ACGGCGCACGGGUGCGUAACACGUGGGUAAUCUGCCCUCUGAUGGGGAAUAACUCGCCGAAAGGCGAGCUAAUUCCGCAUAACAUUCCGAGAACUCCGGUUUUUGGAUUCAAAGGCGUAAGUCGUCGGAGGAGGAGCCCGCGCACGAUUAGCUAGUUGGUGAGGUAAUGGCUCACCAAGGCUUUGAUCGUUAGCUGGUCUGAGAGGAUGGCCAGCCACACUGGAACUGAGACACGGUCCAGACUCCUACGGGAGGCAGCAGUGGGGAAUCUUGCACAAUGGGCGAAAGCCUGAUGCAGCGACGCCGCGUGGGGGAUGAAGCUUCUCGGAGUGUAAACCCCUUUCGACCCGGACGAAUGCCCUGCAAGGGGACUGACGGUACGGGUAUAAGAAGCCCCGGCUAACUACGUGCCAGCAGCCGCGGUAAGACGUAGGGGGCCAGCGUUGUUCGGAAUUACUGGGUGUAAAGGGUUCGUAGGCGGUGUGGCAAGUCGGGAGUGAAAUCUCUGGGCUCAACCCAGAGACUGCUUCCGA
rnacentral:rRNA from 1 species